rnacentral:rRNA from 1 species
GCGUGAGCGAUGAAGGCCUUAGGGUUGUAAAGCUCUUUUACCCGAGAUGAUAAUGACAGUAUCGGGAGAAUAAGCCCCGGCUAACUCCGUGCCAGCAGCCGCGGUAAUACGGAGGGGGCUAGCGUUGUUCGGAAUUACUGGGCGUAAAGCGCACGUAGGCGGCUAUUUAAGUCAGGGGUGAAAGCCCGGGGCUCAACCCCGGAAUUGCCCUUGAGACUGGAUAGCUAGAAUCUGGGAGAGGUGAGUGGAAUUCCGAGUGUAGAGGUGAAAUUCGU